CAGUCGCCGCGGUAACACGGAGGGGGCUAGCGUUGUUCGGAAUUACUGGGCGUAAAGCGCACGUAGGCGGCUUUGUAAGUUAGAGGUGAAAGCCCGGAGCUCAACUCCGGAAUUGCCUUUAAGACUGCAGAGCUAGCAGGUGAGAGAGGUGAGUGGAAUUCCGAGUGUAGAGGUGAAAUUCGUAGAUAUUCGGAAGAACACCAGUGGCGAAGGCGGCUCACUGGCUCAUACUGGACGCUGAGGUGCGAAAGCGUGGGGAGCAAACAGGAUUAGAUACCCCCGUAGUCCCUGUCUCUUAUAC
rnacentral:rRNA from 1 species